GCUAAGAUCAAGUGUAGAGAGGCGUAAAUAGAUGUUCCUGGAUUGAGAGACGUAAACAGAUGUUCAUGGAUUGAGAGACGUAAACAGAUGUUCAUGGAUUGAGAGGCGUAAACCGAUGUUCCUGGAUUGAGAGACGUAAAUAGAUGUUCCUGGAUUCGGAGGCAUAAACAGAUGUUCAUGGAUUGAGAGACGUAAACAGAUGUUCAUGGAUUGAGAGGCGUAAACAGAUGUUCAUGGAUUGAGAGGCGUAAACCGAUGUUCCUGGAUUGAGAGACAUAAACAGAUGUUCCUGGAUUCGGAGGCAUAAACAGAUGUUCAUGGAUUGAGAGACGUAAACAGAUGUUCAUGGAUUGAGAGACGUAAACAGAUGUUCAUGGAUUGAGAGGCGUAAACCGAUGUUCCUGGAUUGAGAGACGUAAAUAGAUGUUCCUGGAUUCGGAGGCAUAAACAGAUGUUCAUGGAUUGAGAGACGUAAACAGAUGUUCAUGGAUUGAGAGGCGUAAACAGAUGUUCCUGGAUUCGGAGGCAUAAACAGAUGUUCAUGGAUUGAGAGACGUAAACAGAUGUUCCUGGAUUGAGAGACGUAAACAGAUGUUCCUGGAUUGAGAGGCAUAAACAGAUGUUCCUGGAUUGAGAGACAUAAACAGAUGUUCCUGGAUUCGGAGGCA
rnacentral:lncRNA from 1 species